rnacentral:rRNA from 1 species
UCCGUAGGGUGCGCGCGUUGUCCGGCAUUAUUGGGCGUAACGGGCUCGUCGGCGGUCUGUUGCGUCAGGAGUGAAAACUCGGGGCUUAACCCCGAGCCUGCUUCUGAUACGGGCAGACUAGAGGUAUGCAGGGGAGAACGGAAUUCCCGGUGUAGCGGUGAAAUGCGCAGAUAUCAGGAGGAACACCGGUGGCGAAGGCGGUUCUCUGGGCAUUACCUGACGCUGAGGAGCGAAAGUGUGGGGAGCGAACAGG